CAGGGUGACAGGUGGUGCAUGGUUGUCGUCAGCUCGUGCGUGAGAUGUUGGGUUAAGUCCCGCAACCGAGCCGCAACCCUCGACCUUAGUUGCCAGCAUUCAGUUGGGCACUCUAAGGUGACUGCCGGCUAAAAGUCGGAGGAAGGUGGGGAUGACGUCAAAUCAUCAUGCCCCUUAUGACCUGGGCUACACACGUGCUACAAUGGGCGGUACAAAGGGUCGCGAACCCGCGAGGGGGAGCCAAUCCCAAAAAGCCGCUCUCAGUUCGGAUUGCAGGCUGCAACUCGCCUGCAUGAAGCCGGAAUCGCUAGUAAUCGCGGAUCAGCAUGCCGCGGUGAAUACGUUCCCGGGCCUU
rnacentral:rRNA from 1 species